AGGCAGCGCUGCAGGUGCCAGCACAGAACCAUGCACGUGUGUGCCCUCGCCCUGCACAAAACCUUCAUGAUUUCUGCUCAGCACUGACAGCUGUCUGGGGAAGGGAGGGCCAUGGCGCAGCCACAAAAGCCCAGAUAUUUUGUGAAUCCUUUCCCUAUUUUUGAUAAGCAUGCUGCCAUGAUGAUGCCAGCAAAGGAAUGGGGAAAUUUUCCAUCUCAUCCAGCUGUCCCUUUUUGUUUCUCAAGUGAUGGACCAAAAGGCAGGACAGAAGGAGGUGUUUCCCCAAGGAAGCAGUGGCUCAUUGGCAGCCCCUGCUGCAGGAAGGAAGGCGAUGGCAGACACGGGCACAGGCACAGCAGAUGCAGCCGGCACCACAACAUGUGUUCCCGAUGCCCACAAGGGCCUUGGAAGCGACUUCUGUAAGGGAGCAGCCUGCUGGGCAGGGUUAAUGGCUGGCCUGCUUUGUUUGGAGCUUGUUCUCAUGUUGUGCUGUGUCAGAUUGUGGUGUUACUGGAAGAAGAAACGGUGCUUCUGUGCAUCUUCAGCAGAUGGCCCUAACAACACAGGCAAUGAGAACGUGGCCGUUUAUCCCAGCUCUCCGCUUCUGCCCCUAUCUACCCUGCCGUGGCUGCAGCAGCGUCAUGAGGCCUUCCCAAAACCCGUCCCUCCACGAGACCCUCUGCCCCCGAGCCCCCUGGUCCUCUUCCCUGGCCAGAACUGAAGUUCGGCAUCCCCUGUCUGACAGGGCAGGGCUUGGCCCAUAUUUCAUAUUUAAAUAAAAGAAUAGAGUUU